CUCUGGCCUCUUGCUGAAGGACAUGCAGAACACAAUGUGGCUCCUGGUAGAUCCGGUUCUUCAUGCCCUAAUGAAAUGAUGGACAAAAUACUCAAGUGGAAGACUGAUGUCUCAUGGCUGCUGCAUGAUGUACGAACAUUCAAGGAUAUGCUGCCCUGACAUUUUGAAACCUGAAGUGAUUUCAGCGUAUUAACUUAAAAAAAAAAGAAAGACACUUGGAUGAAGACAAAACCCAGUAUAUUUAUAGAGCACACAGUAGAUAUAGAACAUAUACCCAGUUCUAUGGGAGGUACUCCAGGCUGGCAGUUUAGAAGCUCUCUCUGAUCAUCUCUGUUGCAAAGGAAUUCAUAAGGAUUGCCUUGCAGGUUCCUCUCAACUUGAAGACACAAUCACCAUCUCUUGUGAGUCUUUUUUCUGAUGAUUUUUUUC